rnacentral:snoRNA from 1 species
AAGGUUUUGGUGCAUGUGAUGAAGCAAAUCAGUAUGAAUGAUGUCAUGAUACUGUAAACGCUUUCUGAUGUGCCACUCA